CAAAAUGCCUAUAAACCAUUUACCAAUUAAAGCCCGCUUCUACAUUUUAAUAGUAUAUAUAUUUAUAUAUUAACUUUAUUUUUAGGAGUUGUAAACAGCGAUGAAUACUUAAUAGGAGCUGUUUGUUCCUUUCUAUGGAUUCCUUUUUAUAGACAUCACAACCCAGAACCCAGUUGCAUUCACUCGUUUUAAUUAACAAUAAGCUACGUAAAAUAUCAAAUUUUUCGUUUGAAUAAAUAAAA